AGAGUUUGAUCCUGGCUCAGAACUAACGCUGGCGGCGUGCCUAACACAUGCAAGUCGUACGAGAAAGUUGGCUUCGGCCGAUGAGUAAAGUGGCGCACGGGUGAGUAACGCGUGGAUAAUCUACCCCUCAGUUGGGAAUAACUCAUCGAAAGGUGGGCUAAUACCGAAUAAUACUGCAUGACUUCUGUUGUGUAGUCAAAGAUGGCCUCCGCUUGCAAGCUAUCGCUGAAGGAUGAGUCCGCGUACCAUUAGCUAGUUGGUAGGGUAAUGGCCUACCAAGGCAACGAUGGUUAGCUGGUCUGAGAGGAUGGUCAGCCACACUGGAACUGAGACACGGUCCAGACUCCUACGGGAGGCAGCAGUGAGGAAUAUUGCGCAAUGGGGGCAACCCUGACGCAGCAACGCCGCGUGAGUGAGGAAGGUUUUCGGACCGUAAAGCUCUGUCGAGCGGGAAGAAAUGCAUAGUGGCUAAUAUCCAUUAUGCUUGACGGUACCGCUAAAGGAAGCACCGGCUAACUCCGUGCCAGCAGCCGCGGUAAUACGGGGGGUGCUAGCGUUGUUCGGAAUCAUUGGGCGUAAAGAGCGUGUAGGCGGCUGGAUAAGUCAGAUGUGAAAGCCCUGGGCUUAACCUAGGAAGUGCAUUUGAAACUGUUCAGCUUGAGUAAGGGAGAGGAAAGUGGAAUUCCUGGUGUAGAGGUGAAAUUCGUAGAUAUCAGGAGGAACACCGGUGGCGAAAGGCGACUUUCUGGCCCUAUACUGACGCUGAGACGCGAGAGCGUGGGUAGCAAACAGGAUUAGAUACCCUGGUAGUCCACGCUGUAAACGAUGUUCACUAGGUGUUGGGGGUAUUGACCCUCUCAGUGCCGCAGCUAACGCAUUAAGUGAACCGCCUGGGGAGUACGGUCGCAAGAUUAAAACUCAAAGGAAUUGACGG
rnacentral:rRNA from 1 species